rnacentral:rRNA from 1 species
GUCGAGCGGCAGCAACGGGUACUUGUACCUGGUGGCGAGCGGCGGACGGGUGAGUAAUGCCUAGGAAUCUGCCUGGUAGUGGGGGAUAACGCUCGGAAACGGACGCUAAUACCGCAUACGUCCUACGGGAGAAAGCAGGGGACCUUCGGGCCUUGCGCUAUCAGAUGAGCCUAGGUCGGAUUAGCUAGUUGGUGAGGUAAUGGCUCACCAAGGCGACGAUCCGUAACUGGUCUGAGAGGAUGAUCAGUCACACUGGAACUGAGACACGGUCCAGACUCCUACGGGAGGCAGCAGUGGGGAAUAUUGGACAAUGGGCGAAAGCCUGAUCCAGCCAUGCCGCGUGUGUGAAGAAGGUCUUCGGAUUGUAAAGCACUUUAAGUUGGGAGGAAGGGCAUUUACCUAAUACGUAAGUGUUUUGACGUUACCGACAGAAUAAGCACCGGCUAACUCUGUGCCAGCAGCCGCGGUAAUACAGAGGGUGCAAGCGUUAAUCGGAAUUACUGGGCGUAAAGCGCGCGUAGGUGGUUUGU